GACGAACGCUGGCGGCGUGCUUAACACAUGCAAGUCGAACGGUGAAGCGCUUGCCUUUUUGGUGGGUGUGGAUGAGUGGCGAACGGGUGAGUAACACGUGAGUAACCUGCCCUCUUCUUCUGGAUAACCUCAUGAAAGUGGGGCUAAUACGGGGUAUUCCGGGUCUGUCGCAUGGCGGGUUUGGGAAAGAUUGCGCCUUUGGGUGUUUUCGGUGGGGGAUGGGCUCGCGGCCUAUCAGCUUGUUGGUGGGGUGAUGGCCUACCAAGGCGGUGACGGGUAGCCGGCCUGAGAGGGUGGACGGCCACACUGGGACUGAGACACGGCCCAGACUCCUGCGGGAGGCAGCAGUGGGGAAUAUUGCACAAUGGGCGCAAGCCUGAGGCAGCGACGCCGCGUGAGGGAUGGAGGCCGUCGGGUUGUGAACCUCUUUCGCCAGUGAAGCAGGCCUGCUCCUGUGUGGGUGGGUUGACGGUAGCUGGAUAAGAAGCGCCGGCUAACUACGUG
rnacentral:rRNA from 1 species